rnacentral:rRNA from 1 species
GAUGAACGCUAGCGGCAGGCUUAAUACAUGCAAGUCGUGGGGCAGCAGGGGUAGCAAUACCCGCUGGCGACCGGCAAACGGGUGCGGAACACGUACGCAACCUUCCUUUAACUGGAGAAUAGCCCCUCGAAAGAGGGAUUAAUACUCCGUAACAUGUACAUGUGGCAUCACAAGUACAUUAUAGCUCCGGCGGUUAAAGAUGGGCGUGCGCCUGAUUAGAUAGUUGGCGGGGUAACGGCCACCAAGUCUGCGAUCAGUAACUGGUGUGAGAGCACGACCAGUCACACGGGCACUGAGAC